GACGAACGCUGGCGGCGCGCCUAACACAUGCAAGUCGAACGGAGCUGAGAGAAGCUUGCUUUUCUUAGCUUAGUGGCGAACGGGUGAGUAACGCGUGAGUAACCUGCCCUGGAGUGGGGGACAACAGUUGGAAACGACUGCUAAUACCGCAUAAGCCCACGAUCCGGCAUCGGAUUGAGGGAAAAGGAUUUAUUCGCUUCAGGAUGGACUCGCGUCCAAUUAGCUAGUUGGUGAGGUAACGGCCCACCAAGGCGACGAUUGGUAGCCGGACUGAGAGGUUGACCGGCCACAUUGGGACUGAGACACGGCCCAGACUCCGACGGGAGGCAGCAGUGGGGGAUAUUGCACAAUGGGGGAAACCCUGAUGCAGCGACGCCGCGUGGAGGAAGAAGGUUUUCGGAUUGUAAACUCCUGUCGGUAGGGACGAUAAUGACGGUACCUAACAAGAAAGCACCGGCUAACUACGUG
rnacentral:rRNA from 1 species